rnacentral:rRNA from 1 species
AAUGAACGCUGGCGGCAGGCCUAACACAUGCAAGUCGAACGGAUCCUUCGGGAUUAGUGGCGGACGGGUGAGUAACGCGUGGGAACAUACCCUUUGGUACGGAAUAGCCUCGGGAAACUGGGAGUAAUACCGUAUGUGGUCGAGAGACGAAAGAUUUAUCGCCAAAGGAUCGGCCCGCGUUGGAUUAGGUAGUUGGUGGGGUAAUGGCCUACCAAGCCGACGAUCCAUAGCUGGUUUGAGAGGAUGAUCAGCCACACUGGGACUGAGACACGGCCCAGACUCCUACGGGAGGCAGCAGUGGGGAAUCUUAGACAAUGGGGGAAACCCUGAUCUAGCCAUGCCGCGUGAUCGAUGAAGGCCUUGGGGUUGUAAAGAUCUUUCAGGUGGGAAGAUAAUGACUGUACCACCAGAAGAAGCCCCGGCUAACUCCGUGCCAGCCGCCGCCGUAAAAC